rfam:Alligator mississippiensis ScZkoYb_184, whole genome shotgun sequence.
GCAUGGAUGAAUUCUGUGUUAGCUUUAUCAAUAGUUUAUGCAGUCAGACACCAUGCUGAAGUAUUUCCACUUUAACUAUUUCUAAUGUCAUGCUGUAUGCCAAGCUGACAUGUUUUAAAAAGUGGAUACACAU